AUUGAACGCUGGCGGCAGGCCUAACACAUGCAAGUCGAACGAGUGGCGGACGGGUGAGUAAUGUCUGGGAAAUUGCCUGAUGGAUGGGGAUAACUACUGGAAACGGUAGCUAAUACCGCAUACCAUCGGAUGUGCCCAGAUGGGAUUAGCUAGUAGGUGGGGUAAAGGCUUACCUAGGCGACGAUCCCUAGCUGGUCUGAGAGGAGGACCAGCCACACUGGAACUGAGACACGGUCCAGACUCCUACGGGAGGCAGCAGUGGGGAAUAUUGCACAAUGGGCGCAAGCCUGAUGGAGCAAUGCCGCGUGUAUGAAGAAGGCCUUCGGGUUGUAAAGUACUUUCAGCGGGGAGGCGUUACCUGCAGAGGAAGCCCCGGCUAACUCCGUGCCAGCAGCCGCGGUAAUAC
rnacentral:rRNA from 1 species